rnacentral:rRNA from 1 species
UACGUAGGGACCAAGCGUUGUUCGGAUUUACUGGGCGUAAAGGGCGCGUAGGCGGCGUGACAAGUCACUUGUGAAAUCUCCGGGCUUAACCCGGAACGGCCAAGUGAUACUGUCGUGCUAGAGUGCAGAAGGGGCAAUCGGAAUUCUUGGUGUAGCGGUGAAAUGCGUAGAUAUCAAGAGGAACACCUGAGGUGAAGACGGGUUGCUGGGCUGACACUGACGCUGACAGCGCGAAAGCUAGGGGAGCGAACGGG